UACGGAGGGUGCAAGCGUUAUCCGGAUUUACUGGGUUUAAAGGGUGCGUAGGUGGGUAGGUAAGUCAGUGGUGAAAUCUUCAAGCCUAACUUGGAAACUGCCAUUGAUACUAUUUAUCUUGAAUACUUUGGAGGUAAGCGGAAUAUGUCAUGUAGCGGUGAAAUGCUUAGAUAUGACAUAGAACACCAAUUGCGAAGGCAGCUUACUACACAGUUAUUGACACUGAGGCACGAAAGCGUGGGGAUCAAACAGG
rnacentral:rRNA from 1 species